rnacentral:lncRNA from 1 species
AGCCCUGUAGAGGUAGAGGGAGACAGUGUAGUGUAGUGUGGGGACCUAUCUCCACCAGCCCUGUAGAGGUAGAGGGAGACAGUGUAGUGUAGUGGGGGACCUAUCUCCUCCAGCCCUGUAGAGGUAGAGGGAGACAGUGUAGUGUAGUGUGGGGACCUAUCUCCUCCAGCCCUGUAGAGAUAGAGGGAGACAGUGUAGUGUAGUGUGGGGACCUAUCUCCUCCAGCCCUGUAGAGGUAGAGGGAGACAGUGUAGUGUAGCGUGGGGACCUAUCUCCUCCAGCCCUGUAGAGGUAGAGGGAGACAGUGUAGUGUAGUGUGGGGACCUAUCUCCACCAGCCCUGUAGAGGUAGAGGGAGACAGUGUAGUGUAGUGGGGGACCUAUCUCCUCCAGCCCUGUGAGAGGUAGAGGGAGACAGUGUAGUGUAGUGGGGGGACCUAUCUCCUCCAGCCCUGUAGAGAGGUAGAGGUAGACAGUGUAGUGUGGGGACCUAUCUCCUCCAGCCCUGUAGAGGUAGAGGGAGACAGUGUGGUGUAGCGUGGGCCCUGUGGGGCCUUGCAGGAGAUCUCAGACAUGUGGUUUCCUGUCUGUGCUUUACUCAAAGCAGAAACAUCUCAGCCACGUGCUACUGCACAGACUGUAUAGAAAGAUAGAGA